rnacentral:lncRNA from 1 species
AACCUGAGAGAUGGCCUGGAGGCAGGGUGGCAUGUUGUUUUUAAAGUGAUACAAGAGACACAGUGGAGACCGUCCAAUGAGUGGCAUGGCUGCCAGGAUGCCAACUGGGACACUAAAGCCCUGGCAGUGGGGGCUGCCCAGCAGGGCUGGCCACUAGAAAUAAGAGAUGCAAAUUCAUCUUCUAUCAUAGCCAAAGAAGACCAACAAAGACCAACAGAGGCCAUGUCUCGCAUUCAGCUCCAACAGCAGGCAGUAGAUUUGUUACAGAGACUAAAACCCACCUUAUUGCCAAGUGACCCUCCUCUCACCAGCCUCCCCUGCUGCCACCCAAAUUCCUGCCACUGAACUACUCCUCAAAAUAAAACACAGCUGUAAAAUGCACACCUGUUUUGGAUUAGUUACAAUAAAUCAGGAUCUGUACUUAUUUCAGUUCCCCAGACAGGUGAAGAACAAGCUGCGUUUAUAGCAAGCCAACUAGAAAGCAGAAGAAAAUUCCAGUCACGAGUUUUUGUUUUUCCUCUUAGGGCAAAGGAGGUUACACUUGAGGAGCCUAAAUUUCUUGUUGUUUCCAAACUCCUGUGAGUCUUUACAGAAAUGCCUCUAAAAGUUGUAGUAUUCUCUCUCUAGAUCCAUCUAACUGAGCCCAUGGUUUCCAAACUUUAAUGCCCAAGAGAAUCCUCAGACCGCAUAUUAAAAAUGCAGGUUCAGGCCUGCAUUUAUUUCUCAGACAGCAUAUUAAAAAUGCAGGUUCAGGCCUGCAUUUAUUUCUCAGACAGCAUAUUAAAAAUGCAGGUUCAGGCCUGCAUAUUUUUUCACGGUGGCUCAUGUCUAUAAUCCCAGCACUUUGGGAGGCCGAAGCAGGCAGAUCACCUGAGGUCAGGAGUUCGAGACCAGUGUGGCCAACAUGACGAAACCCUGUCUCUACUUAAAAAAAAAAAAGGCCGGGCGUGAUGGCAGGCCCCUGAGGUCCCAACUACUCGGAAGGCUGAGACAAGAGAAUCGCUUGAACCUGGGAGGCGGAGGUUGCAGUGAGCCGAGAUUGCGCCACUGCAGUCCAGCCUGGGUGACAGAGCAAGACUCUGCCUCAAAAUUAAUAAAAAUGCAGGUUCAGCAAGUCUGUGGUAAAACUUAGGGACCUAUGUUGUUUUUUUAAACACGCACCUCAUCAGGUGAUUCCAAUGCAAAUAGUCCAGGCCCUCACUUUAAGACACUGCCCUGGGGACUCCAAGCAGAGUAGAACCACCUGAACACGAGACAUCCAAAUCCUUAGUGCAGGCUGUUUGCCAGGACAUGUUUCUGUAAUGAGUUAGCUCUGUGAGAUCGGUCUACAAGAGAAUGAUGUCAGUAUAACCAACACGUGGCAUUGGUUCAUACGCAGUUUUUCUUUGGCAAAGGGAACCAGAAUAGCUGGAAUAAAUUACAGAAAAUUGAGCAGGAAAACAAGCCUUUGACUCAGCCUCUGCAUUGGCAGCAGGGGCCCUAUUAAGUUGUAUUUUAACAGAAUUUCAAAUGCAGCCUGCCCUCAGUGGUCCUCUCUCCUAAGAAGCAAACUCCAAGCCCGUGUGUCUAAGGGCAGGUUGAGUGGCGCCCCCAGACCCACUUUAACAGCAGCUUUGCUGGCUCAGAGACCCACUUCUGUCUUUGAGGUCUCCGCACCCUCAAGCUGGCUCCAUCUGAAAGAUCUCCAGCAUCUCCACUCUGUUGUGUGUUUUUAAUAUCUGCCAUGGUGGCCUCCUGCCAGCCUGGGCCACCUCCCUGGGCAGUCCAAGUGAGUUUCCCGGGCACAUGUUUUGAUUUUAUUAGUUUCUGGUUUCAAAAUGGUCUGUUUCCUAAGUGACCUCUUGGGGAUGCUAAUUUUCCCCAAAGCCCUUACACUUUAAGGGUGUGAUUUUUCAGAAUGUGAGGUGUUUCUGGGAUGCAUAUAUGGCACUAGGACAGGAACGCCUUAUGUGUGAAGAAUACCCAUUGCCUCUGUUUGAAAAGUGCUAUUGAAUAACCUGAUGCUGUGUUCCUUGGCUAAGAUUGUGGGAAAUCACGGGCAAGGACUCCCGAAUCCCCAAGAAAGUACAUCACAAGCUGUAUAGCCUUUAGCUCUCUGCAGCCCUACUCAGGGGAGGUGGAACUUGGAACCCCCCAGGAUUUAGCUCCAUAUGGGCUCCAGGACUCUCAACCACAGCUGUGCCUCAGUUACCCAGGGUCAGCUGGAGCUUCCAUAAGGCACGCACGCCUGAGCUCUACCCUCGAUCUAUUGAAAUAAGGACCUCCGGGGUGGGGCUUGUAUGUCUGUAUACAGUUAGCCUCUGUAUCCGUGGGUUUUAAAUUUGUGGAUUCAACCAAUCAUGGACCCAAGAGAUUUGGGGAAAAAUUGCAUCUUUACUGAAUGUGUACAGACUUUUAAAAUUGUUACUCUCAGCAAUAGAGUAUAACAACUAUUCACGUAGCAUUUACAUUGUAUUAGGUGUUAUAAGUAAUUGGAGAUGAUUUGAAGUGAACAGGAGGAUGUAUAUAAGUUAUUUGCAAAUACUAUGCCAUUUUAUAUCAGAGACAUGAGCAUCCUCAGAUUUUGGUAUCUGAGGGGGGUCCUGGAACCAAUCCCCUACAGAUACCAAGAGACAAGUCUAUUUAGAAGUUACAGGCUGGGCACAGUGGCUCACACCUGUAAUCCCAGCACUUUGGGAGGCCAAGGCAAGAGAAUCACUUGGGGCCAGGAGUUCGAGACCAUCCUGGGCAACAUGGCAAAACCCCAUCUCUACUAAAAAUAGAAAAAUUAGCCAGGUGUAGUGGCAUGUGCCUGUAGUCUCAGCUGCUCGUGAGCCUGAGGUGGGAGGAUCACCUGAGGUCCAGGCUGUAGUAAGCAGUAACCAGGCCACUGCACUCCAACCUGGGUGACAGAGACCCAGUCUUGGGGGGGAGAAAAAGUUUCCAUAUGAUUGUGUAGCUCAGCCAAGGCUCUCAACCUUGGAAGUAUAGAGAAUCACCUGGGAGCUUUUAGAGCUUCCAACGCCCACACUGCAGACCAAAUCACAUCAGAAUGUCUGAGGGCAAAACCCAGGCAGCUGAAUGUUCUAAAGCUCCCAGGUGAUUCCAUGCAUAGCUAGGGUUGAGGGCUUGGCUUUGGGGUCUUUUCUAAUCUGAGAAGGAUCCUAUACUCUGUGGACUGGGGCUAUUGGAACUUCAGUGUGUGUAUGAAUCUCCUACGAGUCUGGUUGAGAAUGCAGAUUCUGAUUCAGUAGGACUGGAACAGGGCUUCUGAGCCUGCAUUUCUAACCAGCUGGUCCGCGGACUACACCAAGAGUUGCACAACUGCAGGCACUAAUGACUCUUUAUUGAUUAUUUAACCCUGACUGAGGAUAAUAACUGUAGUAAGCCAGGACAUUAAACUGCAGGUCCAGGACAGUUAAUGGUAUUUGGCAGAAGUGGCACAGCAGGCUUUGUGAUUAAAAAGAAAACAAAUGUUUGUGUUCCUCCCUGGGUCAGCUAAGGAAUGGUACUGACAAGAGGCAUGCUGGCCACACUCUAAGAGAUGAGUGACUAGAAACCUCCGCCCUUCUGGCUGGGCGCGGUGGCUCAUGCCUGUAAUCCCAGCGCUUUGGGAGGCUGAGGUGGGCGGAUCACAAUGUCAGGAGGUCAAGACCGUCCUGGC